rnacentral:rRNA from 1 species
CAGUCGCCGCGGUAAUACAGAGGGUGCGAGCGUUAAUCGGAUUUACUGGGCGUAAAGCGUGCGUAGGUGGCUUCUUAAGUCGGAUGUGAAAUCCCUGAGCUUAACUUAGGAAUUGCAUUCGAUACUGGGAAGCUAGAGUAUGGGAGAGGAUGGUAGAAUUCCAGGUGUAGCGGUGAAAUGCGUAGAGAUCUGGAGGAAUACCGAUGGCGAAGGCAGCCAUCUGGCCUAAUACUGACGCUGAGGUACGAAAGCAUGGGGAGCAAACAUGAUUAGAUACCCGCGUAGUCCCUGUCUCUUAUAC